CCUACGGGUGGCAGCAGUGGGGAAUAUUGCACAAUGGGCGAAACCCUGAUGCAGCGACGCCGCGUGAGUGAAGAAGUCCUUCGGUAUGUAAAGCACUUUCAGCAGGGAAGAAAAGGACGGUACCUGUAUAAGAAGCCCCGGCCAAAUACGGGACAGCAAGCCCCGGGACACGGAGGGGGCAAGCGUAAGGCGGAUGUACUGGGAGGAAAGGGAGUGUAGGUGGUUCAGCAAGUAUGAUGGGAAAGGUCCGGGUCCAACCCCGGUACUGCAUUGGAAACUGUUGAACUGGAGUGCAGGAGAGGUAGGCGGAAUGCCUGGUGUAGCGGUGAAAUGCGUAGAUAUUAGGAGGAACACCGGUGGCGAAGGCGGCAUACUGGACAGAAACUGACGUUGAGGCGCGAAAGCGUGGGGAGCAAACAGGAUUAGAUACCCGAGUAGUC
rnacentral:rRNA from 1 species